rnacentral:rRNA from 1 species
UACGUAGGGGGCAAGCGUUGUCCGGAUUUAUUGGGCGUAAAGAGCGUGUAGGCGGCCAUACAGGUCAGCUGUGAAAACUCGAGGCUCAACCUCGAGACGUCGGUUGAAACCGUAUGGCUAGAGUCCGGAAGAGGAGAGUGGAAUUCCCGGUGUAGCGGUGAAAAUGCGCCAGAUAUCGGGAAGAACACCCGUGGCGAAGGCGGCUCUC